rnacentral:rRNA from 1 species
GAUGAACGCUGGCGGCGUGCCUAACACAUGCAAGUCGAGCGGCAGCGAGGGGUGCUUGCACCCUGUCGGCGAGCGGCGGACGGCUGAGUAACGCGUGGGAACGUGCCCCAAAGUGAGGAAUAACUGCCCGAAAGGGUAGCUAAUACCGCAUAUUAUCUUCGGAUCAAAGGAUUUAUCCGCUUUGGGAGCGGCUCGCGUCGGAUUAGGUAGUUGGUGAGGUAAUGGCUCACCAAGCCGACGAUCCGUAGCUGGUCUGAGAGGAUGACCAGCCAGACUGGAACUGAGACACGGUCCAGACUCCUACGGGAGGCAGCAGUGAGGAAUCUUCUACAAUGGGCGAAAGCCUGAUGGAGCAACGCCGCGUGCAGGACGAAGGCCUUCGGGUUGUAAACUGCUUUUAUAAGUGAGGAAUAUGACGGUAACUUAUGAAUAAGGAUCGGCUAACUACGUG